rnacentral:rRNA from 1 species
GGACGAACGCUGGCGGCGUGCUUACCCCAUGCAAGUCGAACGGAAAGGCCCUGCUUUUGUAGGGUGCUCGAGUGGCGAACGGGUGAGUAACACGUGAGUAACCUGCCCUUGACUUUGGGAUAACUUCAGGAAACUGGGGCUAAUACCGGAUAGGAGCUCCUGCUGCAUGGUGGGGGUUGGAAAGUUUCGGCGGUUGGGGAUGGACUCGCGGCUUAUCAGCUUGUUGGUGGGGUAGUGGCUUACCAAGGCUUUGACGGGUAGCCGGCCUGAGAGGGUGACCGGCCACAUUGGGACUGAGAUACGGCCCAGACUCCUACGGGAGGCAGCAGUGGGGAAUAUUGCACAAUGGGCGGAAGCCUGAUGCAGCAACGCCGCGUGCGGGAUGACGGCCUUCGGGUUGUAAACCGCUUUCGCCUGUGACGAAGCGUGAGUGACGGUAAUGGGUAAAGAAGCACCGGCUAACUACGUG